GGCAGAACUUCUCGCCAACCUAAUGUUCAUUUGUGAUAUUACUCCUUGCAGUCUGUGAAAGCUUUAAGACUUCAGCACUUUAUCAAGUGGCCUGUCAUGGAGGUGAUGACAUUUGUAGCCCUCUAGAUACUCUCAACGCGCAAACAGCUCAAAAACAAUGGAGGAAAAGCUGAUUAUCAAGAAAUAAAUGAAUGCAUCUCCCCUAUUA